GAAUGUGUAGCUCAGCGGGAAGAGCGCCGGAGAGAUCCGGAGGCCGACGGUUCGAAUCCGUCCAUGUUUCA
rnacentral:tRNA from 1 species